UACGUAGGGUGCAAGCGUUAAUCGGAAUUAUUGGGCGUAAAGCGUGCGCAGGCGGUUUUGUAAGUCAGAUGUGAAAUCCCCGGGCUUAACCUGGGAACUGCGUUUGAAACUACAAGGCUAGAGUGUGGCAGAGGGGGGUGGAAUUCCACGUGUAGCAGUGAAAUGCGUAGAGAUGUGGAGGAACACCGAUGGCGAAGGCAGCCCCCUGGGUUAACACUGACGCUUAGGCACGAAAGCGUGGGGAGCAAACAGG
rnacentral:rRNA from 1 species